AAAUUGAAGAGUUUGAUCAUGGCUCAGAUUGAACGCUGGCGGCAGGCCUAACACAUGCAAGUCGAACGGUAGCACAGAGAGCUUGCUCUCGGGUGACGAGUGGCGGACGGGUGAGUAAUGUCUGGGAAACUGCCUGAUGGAGGGGGAUAACUACUGGAAACGGUGGCUAAUACCGCAUAACGUCGCAAGACCAAAGAGGGGGACCUUCGGGCCUCUUGCCAUCAGAUGUGCCCAGAUGGGAUUAGCUAGUUGGUGAGGUAACGGCUCACCAAGGCGACGAUCCCUAGCUGGUCUGAGAGGAUGACCAGCCACACUGGAACUGAGACACGGUCCAGACUCCUACGGGAGGCAGCAGUGGGGAAUAUUGCACAAUGGGCGCAAGCCUGAUGCAGCCAUGCCGCGUGUA
rnacentral:rRNA from 1 species